UCUCACUCUCUCUCCUUCGCAUUACAACAUGCAAACAUUAGAUCUCUUUCUCUCUCUACAUAUUUAUAUAUAUGUGUAUGUAUAGUUGAUGUUGCGGCGGACUCUAAUUCGCUUGGUGCAGGUCGGGAACUACUUCGCCGGCGGCGACGAUUGAUUCUGAUUGAUUCGGGGGCGAAUCGGGUCCCGCCUUGCAUCAACUGAAUCGGAGACCGCCGUGAAUUUGGUCCGUGGGGACUCGGUUAUGAGGACGUUUCAAAUCGUUGAAUUUUAUUGAAUUGUUGCCGCUUUGUUGAUUUGUGGUUCAAGAUCAACUGGAUUCGUUCAUUUCUAGGUUUCCCUUUGCAUCAACUGAAUCAGAGGCUGCUGCUAAUGUUGUACAGAUAAUGUUUCAGGUUGACAAUUUGAAGUGGUCAAUUUGCCGAAUGUUUAAGAAAUUACAGAGAAGGCAAAAGAACUAUGCACAGUAAAAUCCAGGUCCUGUGUUGCACCAAGCAAGUCGGAAACUGCAGUGCAUGUGGUGGCUAGAACUGAAAAUGUUUGAGAUCUUAGAUUGUCGAAUUUGAGUUGUUGGUGUUUUCUUGCUUUGGUACAAGAUCAAGCAGAUGAUUCUAUUUUCAGCUUCCAUUAAUGUGCAUAAAGAAACCGAAUGUAAUUGGAGUAUUCAUAUUGAAGUGUUGUCUUGAGCCAGAUAGUCUAUGAAGCAUGGACACCUCUCCGAAGGCUACGUUUUAGUGUUGGACACGUGUUGGACAUGGACACGCGUCAGACAUGUGUCCAACACGUCCCAGAAGGUGUCCCUUUUUUUUCUUUUUUUUUCUAGCCAGACACACUCUGACACGUUUCGGACACCAUGGGGCCAAAAACAUAAUUUUUGAAACUUCAAUUGGGGGUCAAUUUGUAAAAAAACAAAAAUUGAAGCAAGUAAACCAAGCCCUAACUUGGAUGUCGAACAGAAAGAGGAGAAAAGGCCGAGAGAAGACUGCUCGCUGCUCAUUGCUCUUGCGAAGGUGCUGGUGACAUGUCUCUGCCAAGGCAAUAGCUUUGAGGGACUUUUGGGAACAAGAGCUUCUUUAUUUUGUUAUAUUCUUUUGUAUAGUCAAGAGCUUAAAUUAUAUUGAGUUAGGCUCACUUUUGUAUAACCAAGCAAUGACUUUGAAAAGAUGUAAAUCUAUAGGGCAUAUGACUAUAUGUUUAAUUUUAAUUCUCUUAACAUUGCAACACAUGUUGUAGAUUCAGGAUAAACAUUUGUGAAUGUAUAUCGCAUGUGUUAACUUUUGUAAAUGAAUUCUGAUGAAUGAAAGCAUAUCAUUUUUAUUAUUCUUCUGCUCAUGAGUUGGUUUUAUCGUAUUAUUUUGGAGGUGUUACAUUGUAUAUGAGAGAUCAUUUGCAACAUCUAGUAUUCUAAAAUAAUAAUUUGAGGGUCUGUUUGAUUAGCAAGAUUAAUAAUGAGGGGAUUAAUAAUCCAUCAGAUUAGUGUAGAAUUGGUUAUCCAACUAGAUUAGUGAAAUACACAAUUCCCUCUUGUCCACGUUUGUUUUGCAAUAAAUAUUAAAACAUAUAAUCUCAAUUAUAUAUAUGUUUUGUGUUAUUAGUUGUAGGAUUAAAAAAAUGGGUCAAUUUUGUUGGAUAGAAUGGCCAUUGGAAUAUAAUCUAAAUUUUAAAAUUUGCAACCAAACAAUGGAAUGUGAAUCACAUAAAUUAACAAUCUCAAUCCUAUGCUCCAAUCUGCCCAAUCAAACAAACCCUGAGGGUUUUGAUACACUAAUUUUUCUUUCUCAAGUAUACAAAUAUAUAUGGAAGGACCAUGGAGACAAUUGUUUGAUAGAAGUUUCGGUUAAAGCCUGUGGUGUGUGUUGUACUAAACAGGUAACAUGGUUGGAUUUUGUGGCACUUCACAGCAAGGAUUUUCUUGGCCAGUUGUAUCUUGUCAACAUGUUUUGUGCAUCCAAACAUUAGAAAGGUUAGAAAAUUUAAUCUGCAUGCAAGAGCAUUAGAUCUGCUAUAGUAGUUGUAUAUGUACAAUAAAUUUCAACCCAUGUUUAUUAUGAACACUACAGUUCACAACAUGCAAAACUUUUGUGAAAGCAAUGUUUACAUUUUCUUGUGCAUUUUCCUUAUCUGGAAUGUACAGUGUUCUGUGGUUUAUGUUCUUGAUGUGGAUAUGCAUAUCCCUCUCCCUUUCACUCUCUCUGCCUGCAUUAUUCUUGUUGGCUAUGAUUUUCAUUUUCAUUUUUAUUUUCCAUUGCUUUUAGUCAAGGAUCAAAAUGUCAUUUUGUUUCCACACUUCCAACAAAACAGUUGUUCCUGUUUCCCAAUGAUUUUUUUACAAGAUAUAGGUAAAAAAAGGUAACUUAGCGCACAAGACUUCCAUUAAAGUAGGGUCUAGGGAGGACAAGAUGUACACAACCUUAUCUUUAUUUUUGGAAUUGAUGCUAAAUAUGAGAUGGAAUGAAAAAAAAUCAUAAGAAGACAAGGGACACUUGGUGCUUUUAUUGAGUGUUAUUUCCUUUUGAAGAUUAAAUCCUUAUAUCCUUUUGCUGAAUAGUUAGUUAUACAAGCAGUUGACGUAGUUAUAUUACUACCAACUUUGGUGAAAUCUCUUGAUGACUUUAGAUUGUAGUUUCUUUUCUGGGUUUUGCAACACUUUGGAGUUGUCAUCUGUGUGCAUUUGUUUUGAAUAUACCAUGUUCCUCGCAUCAAUGCAUUUUCUGAGUUUUUUUUUUUAUACUAUUUGUCAGGGAAUAUUUUUUUUUUCAUCAUUUAUUUCUUUCAGGGAUCAAAUACAAUAGUAAGGUGUGACAUUUUGUUGAAUGUGGAAGGAAGUAAGUUGACUCUGAAUAUGUCUUGUACGAUGCAGUU